UACGUAGGGGGCAAGCGUUGUCCGGAUUUAUUGGGUGCGUAAAGAGCGUGUAGGCGACCAUACAGGUCAGCUGUGAAAAACUCGAGGCUCAACCUCGAGACGUCGGUUGAAACCGUAUGGCUAGAGUCCGGAAGAGGAGAGUGGAAUUCCCGGUGUAGCGGUGAAAUGCGCAGAUAUCGGGAAGAACACCUAUGGCGAAGGCAGCUCUCUGGGACGGUACUGACGCUGAGACGCGAAAGCGUGGGGAGCGAACAGG
rnacentral:rRNA from 1 species